UUUCAGUUGAAGGUCUGGAAUGGAAACUCCUAUUGUGAUCUUAAGGGCUGUAACCCAGAGAAUCUGGUUCUUCCUGGAGUAUUUCAGCAGGGAUCAGCUUAAAUAGGUCUACUUGAAGUUCACAACUGCCAAAACCGCGUGUUCAGACUGAAAGGCUGGGAGCAUUUCAGACGCAUUUAUGAACUUCCACCAAGAUGAUCCGGCAGGCUGAAAUCGCAGGGAGAGCGUCUGUUCAACAAACCCUUUCUUCUUGAUUGAAUUAGUGUUACCCACUAACAGGAUGAGGAAUUCCCACUCCACAAGCUGACUUUUUUUCCUCUUUCCACCUCCCGCCUCCCUCCAUUAAAAUGUAAACUUGAUUCCUGUGUCCUUUGCCGGAGCCUGGCUUCCCUGUAAGCCCAUCAUAAACAUCUUGGUAGAAAUGCAACUUUUAACCUCUCCUUGAUGGUUUUCCGUCUAACUUUAUACAUGGGGAAAAAAUGGUGAAAGACGUUAUCUCUGGCGGGUGCAGGCGUGUAGGGGCAGGAAGUUUCUGCACUGUGGCUGCUCUGGUCCUUUCGUAACUGAGGUUUUCCUGCCCUGUCCUUUAGCAAAGAAUGGCUUUGUUAACCAUUAGCCACUGACAAGAGUGUGUCCAUUUCAGCAAAAUUAAUAAGAGAUAGCAUUUUUCUUCCUUCUAAAUGGCCCAUGUCAGUAAUUAACAUCGCCUUUCAUUACUCAACUUGAAAGCGCCUUCUCGGCCUCCCUCUGACCUUGCCCUGGCUUUGUUAAACUGUGGCCUCCAGCCUGUGAGAGACCUAAAUGCAGAAAAAGUUUUGUGACCGAGAUGCCUUGAAAGAAUCAUUCGACAAAUAUUUAUUGAGUGCCUACUGUGUGGGGCUACCAAGUUGAAUCAGACAUAAACUCUAAUGGAGGAAAAAAGAAAAAAACUGGGAG
rnacentral:lncRNA from 1 species